CGUCACCACGUGUUGACCACUGACGCCUGCUGGUGGCCACGAGGGGCGGGUGGGUGUCGGCGAUGUGGUUUUUAUUUUCAGUUUCGCAUAAAAAAGAAAGAAAAGCAAGCCGUAUAUUAUAGUCUCGUGUGCGGUGAACCUUGUAUUAAAUAUGUUGUGCUCAUAUGUGUAAAGGAAACUACCCUGGAAUGAACUAAAAGUGAGUGUUUUCUCUGGCGAUGCAUGAUUCGAGGUGGCCGAAAGCUAUCGUGGAGGAGGAAUUUCACACCAACAGCAAGAGACAGGAGAACAAGAGAGGAGAGAUGGUGUGCUCCCUGGCAGCACGGCCUGCAUGGGAACGCCGCCCCCCUCACCACCUGCUCAAGGACAAGUAACGUUUAAAGGACUGCUGAUUAGACUAACGAAGAAAAGCAAGAGACUGGGUUCGCCACCUGAUCUAGCUGCUGCUGAUGACGAUAGUACACAUGUCUGCACAAGG